AUGAACGCUAGCGGCAGGCUUAACACAUGCAAGUCGAGGGGUAACAGGGAUUGCUUGCAAUCCGCUGACGACCGGCGCACGGGUGCGUAACGCGUAUGCAACCUACCUUCUACAGGGGGAUAGUCAAUAGAAAUGUUGAAUAAUACCCCAUACGAUCUUUGAAUAGCAUUAUUUAAAGAAGAAAGCUCCGGCGGUAGAAGAUGGGCAUGCGUCCUAUUAGUUAGUUGGUAAGGUAACGGCUUACCAAGACUUCGAUAGGUAGGGGUCCUGAGAGGGAGACCCCCCACACUGGUACUGAGACACGGACCAGACUCCUACGGGAGGCAGCAGUGAGGAAUAUUGGACAAUGGAGGCAACUCUGAUCCAGCCAUGCCGCGUGCAGGAAGACUGCCCUAUGGGUUGUAAACUGCUUUUAUACAGGAAGAAAUAUACCUACGUGUAGGUAUUUGACGGUACUGUACGAAUAAGGAUCGGCUAACUCCGUGCCAGCAGCCGCGGUAAUACGGAGGAUCCAAGCGUUAUCCGGAAUCAUUGGGUUUAAAGGGUCCGUAGGCGGUCUUUUAAGUCAGAGGUGAAAUCCUACAGCUCAACUGUAGAAUUGCCUUUGAUACUGAAAGACUUGAGUUAUUGUGAAGUAGUUAGAAUGUGUGGUGUAGCGGUGAAAUGCAUAGAGAUCACACAGAAUACCGAUUGCGAAGGCAGAUUACUAACAAUAUACUGACGCUGAGGGACGAAAGCGUGGGUAGCGAACAGGAUUAGAUACCCUGGUAGUCCACGCCGUAAACGAUGGAUACUAGCUGUUCGACCAACAUUGGUUGGUUGAGUGGCUAAGCGAAAGUGAUAAGUAUCCCACCUGGGGAGUACGGUCGCAAGACUGAAACUCAAAGGAAUUGACGGGGGCCCGCACAAGCGGUGGAGCAUGUGGUUUAAUUCGAUGAUACGCGAGGAACCUUACCAGGGCUUAAAUGUAAGUUGCAUGAUUUAGAGAUAGAUCUUUCUUCGGACUACUUACAAGGUGCUGCAUGGUUGUCGUCAGCUCGUGCCGUGAGGUGUCAGGUUAAGUCCUAUAACGAGCGCAACCCCUGUCGUUAGUUGCCAGCAAGUUAAGUUGGGCACUCUAGCGAGACUGCCAGUGCAAACUGUGAGGAAGGUGGGGAUGACGUCAAAUCAUCACGGCCCUUACGUCCUGGGCUACACACGUGCUACAAUGGUCGGUACAGAGAGCAGCCACUACGCGAGUAGGAGCGAAUCUAUAAAACCGAUCUCAGUUCGGAUCGCAGUCUGCAACUCGACUGCGUGAAGCUGGAAUCGCUAGUAAUCGGAUAUCAGCCAUGAUCCGGUGAAUACGUUCCCGGGCCUUGUACACACCGCCCGUCA
rnacentral:rRNA from 1 species